AGGACGAACGCUGGCGGCGUGCCUAAUACAUGCAAGUCGAACGCUUCUUUCCUCCCGAGUGCUUGCACUCAAUUGGAAAGAGGAGUGGCGGACGGGUGAGUAACACGUGGGUAACCUACCCAUCAGAGGGGGAUAACACUUGGAAACAGGUGCUAAUACCGCAUAACAGUUUAUGCCGCAUGGCAUAAGAGUGAAAGGCGCUUUCGGGUGUCGCUGAUGGAUGGACCCGCGGUGCAUUAGCUAGUUGGUGAGGUAACGGCUCACCAAGGCCACGAUGCAUAGCCGACCUGAGAGGGUGAUCGGCCACACUGGGACUGAGACACGGCCCAGACUCCUACGGGAGGCAGCAGUAGGGAAUCUUCGGCAAUGGACGAAAGUCUGACCGAGCAACGCCGCGUGAGUGAAGAAGGUUUUCGGAUCGUAAAACUCUGUUGUUAGAGAAGAACAAGGACGUUAGUAACUGAACGUCCCCUGACGGUAUCUAACCAGAAAGCCACG
rnacentral:rRNA from 1 species